rnacentral:tRNA from 1 species
GCCUGGGUGGCUCAGUUGGUUGAGCGUCCGACUUCAGCUCAUGUCAUGAUCUCACAGCUCGUGGGUUCAAGCCCCGUGUCAGGCU